ensembl:lncRNA
CUCCCCCUGUCCUUCUGGCAAAAGCCCUGCCAUCUCGCAGUUCCCCUCCGAGGCCUCCCUUCUUAAGUGUAAAUGACAGUUGCUUCUUUUGUGCCUCGCUUACGCCCAAACUUCCGGUCCCCGGGGCCCUCUACAGACUGCUCAGGUCCCCGUGGCUGCCUUCCUCCACCAAACCGGGAGCUCCCGCACCCAGCCUUCCACGGAGGAGGUGCUGAACAAGGGUUUUCUGGGGGUCCAGUAAGUUGUGCGACGCCCAAGAACUGGGAGCCACCCAAAGGCCUUUGAAAACACGAGGGGUGAUGUGCGAGUUGAGAGAGAAAGGAAGACUUUACCUCAGGUGCCUGGAGUCCUCGGGGAGCAUGGUUAGUCUGGUAGAAGGAGCUGGCAGUCCUCCCGUUCCCUUCUGGAUCACCUGCUCUCUGGACCUGUUGCAGAGUUGUCAUUGGGGACUCUCCUCUAUCACCCUAGGGUUUACCUUUCCCAUUCUCCUGUCUGGAGGCCUCUUCCUGGGAUCCACGUUUUUCUCUUUUUGUCGCUUUUCCUCAUAUCUUCUACUACAUAUCCAGUCACUUCCUGAGAAGGCUGAAUGUGCCUUGUAGGUCUAAAAAUAUCUUUAUUCUAUCCUCAUACUUGAAUUGUAGUGCAGGUGGGAAUUUAACUCUAGGUUGAAAAUAAAUUUCCUGCAGAAUUUUGUCUUCUAACUUCCCACGUGGUUAUUGAGAAAUCAGUUGUCAUUCAUAUUUCAUGUCUUUUGAUGUGACAUUUUUCCUCUCUGGAAGUGUUUGAGAGAUUAUCUUUCCCCCUGUUGUUCUAAACCUCUCAUGAUGAGGAGACUGGAUGUGAGCUCUUUAUUCAUCUAUUUUCUUGGGCAGUCAGAGAGCCACUGCAGGCAGGACGCUCAUGUUUCAGUUAACGGGAAAUGUUUUUGUAGCACAUAUUGGAUGAUUUUCUUCUCUGUGUUUUUAUCUGUUCCCUUUUUCUGGGAUGUCUAUUGAUAAUUGUUGAACUUCUUGGGUUAUCCUCUAAAUUUAUUUCCAACUUUUCAUCUUGGUCUUUUAUUUUCCGUAUUUUGGGAGAUCACUUUGACUUUGUCUUUCAGUGAUUCUGUUUUUAAUUUUAGCUAUUAUAUUUUUAUCUUCCAAGAAUGCUUUCUGUUUUUUCUUUAUUGCAUCCCUGGAUGCAAUAUUUUCUCAUAUUAACUAAAGGAUGUUAAUAAAAGUUUUAUGAAAUUUUAUUCUGCUCCCAACAUUGUUUCCUCUAGGUUCUUUUUCUCCUGUUCAUUUUGGUUGCCGUUUGUCAUAUUUCGUGCUUGUCAUUUCUAUUUAAGAGCAAGGCCCUAAAAAUGACUGGAAACUCAGUGUCUGUGUGGGUGUGUGCACUAAGCAGGAUGUAGGUCUUUUUUUUUUUUUUUUGGUGAGGCAACAGGAGAAUUCUGUUUCUUCAGAAAAGUCAACCUCUUCCUGUGAUCUCUCUCUCUCUCUCUACCUAGCAGCUGUCGUUGCUGGAGCUGGGUGGAAAAAUGGAGCCAGCGAGGGUGUGCUCACUGGUCAAGAUGUAGCAUUUCUCUGACUUCUGUCUUUAACCCCAAGAUUCGACUCCACCUUCUGCUUUGCUAAGCGUUCCUGCGCUUGUACCUGUAGCUUUUCUGGCUCAGUCUAGUCAGAGGACCCGCCUCUAUCCACCAUCUGGGUGGGAUGGAGAGUCAGUGGGCCGUUCAGGGUUUGGGAAAAGACCCUGCGGGCUAACCUUUCUAUGCACUGACUUCCAUCAACCCAUAUCUCUUUCCCAGCUCCGGCCCACCCACGGUUUCUGACAUACCUGCUGCGUCCCACUGCCGAGGCUUCUGGGGGCUCUGCAGGAAGAGGCAGCCGCUGCCUCACAGCUGCCCCUCUGCAGGCUCGUUGUGCCGCUCACUCAACUCUGCUAAGGCAGCUGCUGCUCCUUUAUCCACUUCCCGUCUUAAAAAAGGAAGCUGGAAUCUCCCAUCUGUUGCUGACUCCUCUCUCAUUAUUGGAGUCCCUUCUGGCUUAUAUCAUUUAAUUCAUCUCAUUAGAGGGCUUCACAAAUAUUCAAGUUGGCAUGUUUAACCGGAAAACCUAGUAUAUAUUUUUUUAAUAAGACCCUUUUUUUAAACAGCAAUUUUAGGUUUACAAUAAAAUUGAGAGAAAAGUACAGAGAUUUUCUAUAUACCCACUGCCCCGACACAUGCAGAGCAUCCCUCAUUAUCAACGUCACUCAGCAGAAUGCUGCAUUUUUUUAACCAAAGAUUAACCUACAUUGACACCAUAAUCACCCAAAGUUCAUAGCUCACCUGAAGGUUCCUCUUGGUGUUGUCCAUUCAAUGGGUUCAGACAAAUGUAUAGUGACAUGUACCCAUGCUGAGUAUUUUUGCUGCCCGAUAAAUCCUCUGUGUUCUGCCUAUUUUUCUCACCCCACCUCUCAGCUCCACUCCUGGCAGCCACUUAUCUUUUUAUUGCUUCCAUAGUUUUGUCUUUUCCAGAUUGUCUAAUAGUUGAAAUCAGACAAUACGUAGCCUUCUCAGAUUGACUUCUUUCACUACAUAAUGUACAUUUAAGGUUCCUCCAUGUCUUUUCAUGGCUUAGUAGCUCAUUUCUUUUCACUGAGUGAUAUCCCAUUGUCUGGCUGUACCACAGUUUAUUUAUCCAUUCACAUACUGAAGGACAUCUUGGUUGCUCCCAAG